GGACCCUUUUGAGGUUGCUGCCUCUGUUCAUAGGGGAUGUUGUUCCUGAAAAUGAUGAUGCAUGGGCUGUAAUUCUGGAACUUAAAGACAUUGUGGAACUUUUGGCAUCCUCCAGUUUUACAGAUGAAAGCUUGUGUUAUCUUGAUGCCAAAAUAAGUGAGCACAGAAAACUAUUACUGACUGUGUUUCCAGGACUGCAACUGAAACCUAAACAUCAUUUUAUUGAACACUACACUCAUUUGAUCCGCUGCUUUGGACCACUGGUAGAGUUCUGGACGUUACGAUUCGAAGCGAAACAUAGUUUCUUCAAAAAAGUGGUUCGUGAUGUCAAUAAUUUCAAAAACAUUCUAUUGACUCUGUCCCUCAGACAUGAACUUAUGUUGGCAUACUACCUGGACACGCCCAACCUGUUUAAACCAACAGUGGAAUUAAAAGGAGUAUCAAAUAUUUCCCUGGACAUUCUGGCCCCCUCUGUCAAACAAGUGAUUGAGAAGAAAUGUAGAACUCUGAGCAGUGUAUCUCUGGCCACAACCGCAUACAUUCACGGGACAAGAUACACCAAGGGAAUGUUCUUGUCAGUUGGAAGCACAAGUGGCCUUCCUGAUUUUUGUAAGAUUAUACAUGUGUUGCUUGUAUGCAACAAGCUAUUUUUUCUUCUGGAACCUUUCUCAGCUUGGUAUCUGGAGCACCUACGAUGUUACGAAGUCUGCAAGAGAGACCCUACUCAACUGACGGUAGCCGAACCUGAAGACCUGAACCACUACAUCCCAUUGUCAGCAUACACCGUGCACGGCCGACUUCUGGUUUCACCGAAGGCAUUUCCUGUACAUUAAGACGUCAACGACAGAGUACAAGACGGUUCAAGUCUGCAAGAGAGACCCUGCUCAACUGACGGUAGCUGAACCACUUACAUCCCCGUUGUCAGCAUACACUGUGCAAGGCUGACUCGUGGUUUCAGGGAUUUCUUGUACAUUAAGUCAGACGUCAACAACAGAGUACAAGACGGUGCUAGUUCAUCCUGUCCAAGAUCAACUCCAUCGAGCUGAAGAAAACCAGCAGUCACAAGUCCACUUAAGAUCUGUCUGCUUGUGUAGGCCUCUCUCAGUUUCAUCAUGCUGCUGCGCAUCAUCUUGAGCGAAAAUGACAUAAGAAAGGUUACCAUUGACACCUUGCCGGAGACUGUUCAUGACUUCUGCUCAAUCCUGAAGACCAAACUGGGACUGGAGGGCGACCUUGUGAUUCAGUAUCAGGACCCCGAGUUCGACAAUGAACUGUGCAAUUUAAGUAGCAUGUCGGAGCUUCAUAAAGAUAAAGCAACUUUGAAAGUGCACACCAAGUCUUCUGAAUAAAACACAGACUCAACUCUAGACACGGCAAGCCUGUCAUCAUCUUCCCUCGAGGAUAGCCCCCAUGGUACCCAAACUCGUCAGCUGCCUCAACCAUUCGUCAUUCCUGCUUUUUCUUUUGAUGUUGAGUUGAAACUGAGGCAAGGGAAUGAUGCCUUCCAUAGAGAUGGGAGCCUUCUUGACAUUUCAAAAGACAUGAAAUCGGACAUCUUAGACAAGUUAGCAGAAGCCAUAUAUGCUCACAAUCCCUACCCAUCACGUGAGGACUAUGAUCAUGUGGCCCAAGCUCUCAUCAACAAGCAUCCUUGUCUGAAGGAACCAGGGUCUGUUGGUGGGUGGUAUUGCUGGAAGUUUAGUUUAAAGUUCAAAAUGGGAAAUUUCCGGCAGAAAAUGCGAGUGGCUGGUUGCUCCGAGCUCAGAGUGAACGCACGUACCUCUGGAUCAACAAGUUCAAAAAGACUAAAGAGGGCCAGAAAGUCAGAAGUGAACUUCCUGCCAGAUUUUCCAGAAGGGAAAGCCCAAAGUGACCUUGAGACAGAGAGAUCUACCAUGGUCAGCGAGAUGAAGAAAAGAAAGGUUGAUUGGAACCAAAUUGGUGAGAUGAUGAGUAACACGUUCCCCUUACGGAGGAAAGAAAUUGUUGAGGAUGAACCCCUUGUGGAACAAGUGAAAGACAGGUGGCCAGCCUUGUUUGCUGAACGGCAGAUUGAAGCAGAAUUUGCUCGCCUUACAUCUGUUGAUCUGAAGGGCUCCUUCUUUGCUGGGCUGGACCAGUAUCUGGCAAGAUUCCUUGAGCUGUACAC